AAAACCCUAACCCCUAAACCAAACACGACAACAGAAGAUAUGAGAGGUGUUUUAGGAGGUGGAGAUAGGAAAAGGAUACAACACAAAACUGAAGGCCAGAGAUUGAUCUAAUAUUUCGGACAUCAUCGCGACGAGUGGUGAAUCUCGAUAACUAUUUUUCUUCGCCUUUAGAAACCCGAUAAAGUAGACUCAUCACUAAGUUUUAUCUACUUGAAGUAAUUGUUUAAUAUGACUAUCCCAUGCUGUUGGUGCUUGCUUUAUGUUGUAUAAUGUUUUUUUUUUUUAAUUUGCAUACCAUGUUCUUUUCCCCUUCAACUAAACAUCCUUCUAGAAUUUCUUGAUAUGCUAUAGUGUCCACAAGUACAAGUUGAAUAUCAGUAGUUCCUCUUGGUUUACUCUGGAGAACAAAUUCGAUUGAUGAUAGUCCAUUAUGAUUGUCGUCUUUUUUAUUUUCAUCUUCUACUUUUUGUUCAAUCUCAUCUAUUUGAAUAGGUACCCCAUUAAAAGUCAAUGAAACUUAUUCACAUUCUUCUUUCUCAUAAAUUUGUUAUGUAUGCGAUAGUACAAAAAUGUUCUCAGCCUUUUCUUGAUACUGUAUAGUUGUAGUAGUAAGUUAGACAUGAAUAGUUUCUCCUGUUUGGCUCUUAUUUUGAUCUUCUAUUUGUUUUCUUCAAACUCAUCCACCUUCACAUCAUCUUCUUCAUCCCACAUUUUUGGUUUCAUCUUGGCUUCUUCAAAGCUUUCUGGCUCAAUUAGUGUGAAAUAAUAUAACUCAAACUGUUGUUAAACUUCUUACUUGUCUUGAAGCUGAUUCUAGAACACCCGAUUCUUGUAUGACAUUUUUAGUAGAACUUAAACUCGAAGGAAUAUAUUCAUUUAAUUUAGAGAAGAUUCCUUGUUUCUAGUCAUAUUAUUCCUGCAACUUGAGUCUAAUAUCCAUUGAGAAUUAUUCUUUGCACUAGUUUCGUGACUUGCCAAUAAUAAAGUCUUUACAUUAUCAUUCUGGGCUACUCUGGCAUUCUUUCCACUAGUGUCAUGAGUUGUCAAUAACAAAUUCUCUACAUUAUCAUUCUGCGCUACCCUGACAUGAUUAUCUUUAUGCUCUAGUUUUUUGGCAUGACAUUCUCUAUUAUAAUGAUCAUAUCUUUUAUAAUUAUAACAUUGAAUAUGUGACUUACAUUCAUAUUGAUAGUGAUCAUAAUUUAUAUUUAUGACAUUGGAUGUGAGACUUACCUUGAAAAGAUUGAUUCUUUACUGCUCAUCACUUGAAGUUGUUUUGGAGUUUUUUUCUUCACUACUUCUGAAAUCUUAACCUUUUUUAUUAUGUGUGAUUUAGGCGUUUCCUUCUCACACUCAAAUUUACUUUAGUCUUUAAAGUUUGUUCUAUUGUACUUGGAGACCUUUCAUUGUCUACAUUUUGCGUGACUCUUAAUGAAGCUUGUAAAACAUAAGAGUCAUGAUGUCCAAUUUUAUGAACUCUUCAAUGGUUGUCACCACAUAAUCAAACUAGACAACAUAUAUAAAUUCUUCUCCAUGACAUCUCUCUCUCUUAUUAGGUCUCUAUUAUUUUUCAUCUUAUUUAUUAACUUUUCUAUUUGUGAAAAAUAAUCACAAAACUUUCAUCUUUGCCUUGCUUUAUUAGCUUGAAUUGUCUUUUCAAUCCUUUUAGUCGUGUUCGUUUUACUGGAUGUACACCUUCAUAUAUUUGGAGCAAAAUACUUCAAGCCUCUUUUACUGUUUUGGCAUGAAAUAUUUUUUCCAAUACGGAUAACUUCAUAGAUUGACAAAUUAAAAAUGAAGUCUUAUCAUUUAACGAAUGAUCGUGUAAAAAGUCUUGUAAUUCUUCAGUUGACAGCUUUUCAUUCUCAACAAGACAUUUUUCUAGAAUUUCACCAUAAUCGUUGAUUCUCAAACACAGCUCUGUUAAGUGCUUCUAUAUUGCAAAAUCAUUUUUUCCAUCAAACUUAAAGAUUAAUGAAUGCACAUGUUGAAGUUGGAUUCCUAUUGUUGAACUAGAAGCUAUAUCGAUCGAACCUUACGCUCUGACACCAUAUGUUGGUAAUUUAAUUUUGUUGUGAUUGUUAAGAGAAUAAAUUUGAUAAUUAAACAAACAUUCAAAAUUUUAUUGAUGAAAGAACACAAAUGUUACAACACUCAUAAGAUAAUUUCACAAUCAAACCCAUUAUGCAUUAUCUUGUUGAAUCUAACAAAUCUCACUCAAUUUUUUUUAACACCUCACGCCCCAAUAUACAUUUUUCUCUUUUAUCUAAACUCUAUAUAUAAGCAGCACCGUUGCCCCAUUGCAUUCCUCCUCUUUAUUGUUGAUUAAUUUCNNNNN
rnacentral:lncRNA from 1 species